GACGAACGCUGGCGGCGUGCUUAACACAUGCAAGUCGAACGGAGAGGCCCUGCUUUUGUGGGGUGGUCGAGUGGCGAACGGGUGAGUAACACGUGAGUAACCUGCCCUUUACUUUGGGAUAACGUCCGGAAACGGGGGCUAAUACCGGAUAUGCACUCCUGCUCCCUUGGGGGGGGUGGGAAAGUGCGGCGGUUGGGGAUGGACUCGCCGCUUCUUAGCUGGUUGGUGGGGUAGUGGCUUACCAAGGCUUUGUCGGGUAGCCGGCCGGCUGGGGUGGCCGGCCACAUUGGGACUGGGAUACGGCCCAGAGUCCUACGGGAGGCAGCAGUGGGGAAUAUUGAAGAAUGGGCGGAAGCCUGAUGCAGCAGCGCCGCGUGCGGGAUGACGGCCUUCGGGUUGUAACCCGCUUUCGCCUGUGACGAAGCGGGAGUGGCGGUAAUGGGUAAAGAAGCACCGGCUAACUACGUG
rnacentral:rRNA from 1 species